rnacentral:rRNA from 1 species
CCUACGGGUGGCUGCAGUGGGGAAUAUUGCACAAUGGGGGAAACCCUGAUGCAGCAACGCCGCGUGAGUGAAGAAGUAUUUCGGUAUGUAAAGCUCUAUCAGCAGAGAAGAAGAUGACGGUACCUGACUAAGAAGCCCCGGCUAACUACGUGCCAGCAGCCGCGGUAAUACGGAGGGGGCAAGCGUUACCCGGAUUUACUGGGUGUAAAGGGCGCGCAGACGGCAGAGCAAGUCUGAAGUGAAAGCCUGGGGCUCAACCCCAGAACUGCAUUGGAAACUGUGCGGCUAGAGUACUGGAGGGGCAGGCGGAAUUCCUAGUGUAGCGGUGAAAUGCGUAGAUAUUAGGAGGAACACUAGUGGCGAAGGCGACCUGCUGGACAGUAACUGACGUUGAGGCUCGAAAGCGUGGGGAGCAAACAGGAUUAGAUACCCUUGUAGUC